rnacentral:rRNA from 1 species
AGUGAACGCUGGCGGUAGGCCUAACACAUGCAAGUCGAACGGCAGCACAGUAAGAGCUUGCUCUGACGGGUGGCGAGUGGCGGACGGGUGAGGAAUACAUCGGAAUCUACUUUUUCGUGGGGGAUAACGUAGGGAAACUUACGCUAAUACCGCAUACGACCUACGGGUGAAAGCAUGGGAUCUUCGGACCUUGCGCGAUUGAAUGAGCCGAUGUCGGAUUAGCUAGUUGGCGGGGUAAAGGCCCACCAAGGCGACGAUCCGUAGCUUGUCUGAGAGGAUGAUCAGCCACACUGGAACUGAGCCACGGUCCAGACUCCUAAGGGAGGCAGCAGUGGGGAAUAUUGGACAAUGGGCGCAAGCCUGAUCCAGCCAUACCGCGUGGGUGAAGAAGGCCUUCGGGUUGUAAAGCCCUUUUGUUGGGAAAGAAAAGCAGCAGGUUAAUACCCCGCUGUUCUGACGGUACCCAAAGAAUAAGCACCGGCUAACUUCGUG